rnacentral:rRNA from 1 species
GACGAACGCUGGCGGCGUGCCUAAUACAUGCAAGUCGAACGUUGAAGCUUGGUGCUUGCUCUGAGCGGAUGAGUUUUUCACGGUUUAGUAACGCGUAGUUAACCUGCCUUGUAGCGGGGGAUUACUACUGGAAACGAUAGCUAAUACCGCAUAAGAGUAGAUGUUGCAUGACAUUUGCUUUACUGGUGCAAUUGCAUCACUACCAGCUGGACCUGCGUUGUAUUAGCUAGUUGGUGAGGUAACGGCUCACCAAGGCAACGAUACAUAGCCGACCUGAGAGGGAGAUCGGCCACACUGGGACUGAGACACGGCCCAGACGCCUACGGGAGGCAGCAGUAGGGAAUCUUCGGCAAUGGACGGAAGUCUGACCGAGCAACGCCGCGUGAGUGAAGAAGGUUGUCGGAUCGUAAAGCUCUGUUGUAAGAGAAGAACGAGGGUGAGAGUGGAAAGUUCACACUGUGACGGUAUCUUAACAGAAAGGGACGGCUAACUACGUG